rnacentral:ncRNA from 1 species
AUAAAGCCACAUAAAAUCACGUUACGGUUGGUAGUCCGUAAGCACGCUAAAACGUGUUAGUAUCCUUCCCUCCAGGUCGUCCAUUGUAAUUUUUUAUAAA